rnacentral:lncRNA from 1 species
AGAUGGAGAGGACGCUCUGCCAUUUAGAGGUCCUACUGAGUGGGCACACCUUUUCCCCUCGAGAAAACCUUGUUUCUACCAGAGAAAUGGGCAGAGGCCUCUCUCUGGAACUUGAACCUCUCUGUCCCUGGAAACAUCCCAAAGCAGGCCCAGCCUGCCAUGUUCCUUUGUUGGGGCACAGAGGGAAUGGAAUCUUACCGAUAAGGUGAGAAGAGCUUGAGAGAAUACCAAGGACGGGCCCACCCUUCUCCCUCCUCCCUCCAAACACCUCAGGCUAAAAGGGGAGGGAAAAAAAAGGCACCAACAAAGAGUUUAAGACAGCAAUUCCCAGCUUUUUCAAAUAUGAAGCAUUUUUUAACCAAUCCGUUUUUUAAUUCUUAAAUUCUUGACAUUACAGAACUAAACUGAAAUUUAUUAACAUUCCACUCUUACAUUUCUUAUCGACAAACAGAAAUAAAAUUCAUGAGCCAAAAAACCCAAAACAAAACUAAAAACAGGGAAAAGCUUAUAAAACUAAAUAUGGAUCCCAGCAUUAACAGCUGAACAGAGAAUGUGAUUUUUAAAUUCUUAGCGGAUGAUAAAGUUGUGUAGAAACUGAACACUUACAAAUUAUUUAAAACCUGGAAUCACUGACCAGAAAUUACACAGUUGGAUCAUGGGAGAACAGCAGAAAGGGGUUAUUGAGGGAACCUACACUGUUCUAGCUGCACCCCAUGCCCUUCUCAGAGGAAAGCCUGGCAUUGAUUAGAUACUGGGCCAGACUAAUACUGGCAGCAGAGCCAGUGAUAGUAACCUGCCUACCAGAGGAGCCUUCCACUGGGUUGGCAAUUUUGAUCUGGGCCCCGGACAUCUGGCGGAUCUCAUUAAUGUUGGCGCCUUGGCGCCCGAUUAUGCAGCCAAUUAAGUUAUUUGGAAUGGUGAGUUCAUGGGUGGUUUGAGUAGAUGCAUCCAAACUUGCCCAAUAGCCUUUCACCUCUGGAGAGCUGGAGUCAAUUCCGGCGAAUCCGGUCCCGCCGUGCAUCAUGGCAAAGUGAGACUGUUGUCUUGCCACCUGGUUCAGCUUGGCCAGAUCGAGCGGAGAAAUGGUGUGUUGUCCUUGAAUCGAGUAGGCAUCUAGAGGUGGUCCCUCCAGGUCAUGGGUGGCAUGGGGGUAGCCCGCAGCGUCGCUGCACCGAUCUUGGCCGCCCGCGCAGAUGACUGGGGAGCUGGCCGGCAUGGGCUGGUACGGAAUGGUCAUGACUCUCCCUUGCGGAGACUGGGAGAGCGUCUCCAGCAUGACCAGGCAAAUCUGCUUGACACACUCGGUGACAGACUGCGGCACGCCAGCGAUGGUGAUGGCCCGCUCGGUGGAGUUGGGCAGCAUAUCCCCCGCCACCUGGACCUGCGCCCCCGUACUCUCGCGGAUCUCUUUGAUCUUACACCCGCCUUUCCCAAUCAGGGAGCCGCACUGGGUGGCCGGCACCACCAGCCUCAGGGUGACCGGGGGCCUGCUGGCCGCGGUACUGUUGGUCAUGGAGCUGUUGAUAUCUUCCUCCAGCUUGUCGAUGAUCAUAGCGAAAGCCUUAAAGAUGGCAUUGGUGGGGCCGGUCAGAGUGAUGAUUCUCUCCGGACAAUUCCCCUCCGAGAUGUUGAUCCGCGCGCCACUCUCCUCGCGGAUCCUCUUAACCGACUCCCCUUUCUUCCCAAUGAUGCUUCCUACUUCCUUUCCGUGCAUAAGAAGCCGAAUGGUGAGAGUCACAUUUAGUCCACUUUCAGUCACACCGGCAUCCAUGGCGAGCGGCGGGCGGCGUUCGGGGGAGUUGGGCUCGUUACGUGGUCAAGUCUUUGGCGGCUGGCGGGGGGAGGGGAGGUGUAGGCCCAAAACUGCCGGCGCGAGGCGAGCGAGGGCCGCGGGAGCGAGCGGGAGCGGGCGGGAGGCCGCAGCGUAGUCGCAGGGGCGGGCGGCGGCGGCGGAGGGGGCGAGCGGGGCCGGGAGCGGCGGGCGGGCGGGUGGGCGAGGGCGCGGCGGUGGCGACUCCGGCGGCAGCCUCGGCGGUCUGGGCGGGGCGGGAAGCCCGCUUUCAACCCCGCGUACCCUCUGACCCCGGAAGUGCUUGCUGCGCAGGACCCCUUGAAAAAAAAUGAGGACCCGUCUUUUUUAGGUCACAAGAUUGCGCCAACCCUUACAUGGUCCUUAAAAAAAAAACCUUCUGACACUGCAGUAGUGAAAAUGAAGCGCACGAUGGGCGGAAGCUAGGAAGACAAACAUAAAGAUGAAGUGCUUAAUUCAAGGUCACACAAUGUCGGGGAUGGACCUCCAGAUUUCCUUACUGGUGAGACGUGGUCUUGUAACACAGUGGUUAAGAAUGUGACUUUGGAGCCAGCCUGCUAGGGGCUGAAUUCUGACUCAGCCAUUUACUAACUGUGUGACCUUAGGAUUGCUGAUAACCACCAGAAACUAGAAGAGACAAGGAAGGAUUCUUCCCUAGAGCCUUCAGAGGGAGCAUGGCCCUACUGACACCUGGAUUUCAAACUUGUAGCUUCCUAAACUGCAAGAGAAUAAAUUUCUGUUGUUUUAAGCCAU